AGUGAACGCUGGCGGUAGGCCUAACACAUGCCAGUCGAACGGAAGCACAGUAAGAUCUUGCUCUUACGGGUGGCGAGUGGCGGACGGGUGAGGAAUACAUCGGAAUCUACUUUUUCGUGGGGGAUAACGUAGGGAAACUUACGCUAAUACCGCAUACGACCUACGGGUGAAAGCAGUGGAUCUUCGGACCUUGCGCGUUUGAAUGAGCUGAUGUCGGAUUAGCUAGUUGGCGGGGUAAAGGCCCACCAAGGCGACGAUGCGUAGCUGGUCUGAGAGGAUGAUCAGCCACACUGGAACUGAGACACGGUCCAGACUCCUACGGGAGGCAGCAGUAGGGAAUAUUGGACAAUGGGCGAAAGCCUGAUCCAGCAAUACCGCGUGAGUGAAGAAGGCCUUCGGGUUGUAAAGCUCUUUUGUUGGGGAAGAAAAGCAGUAGGUUAAUACACCGCUGUUCUGACGGUACCCAAAGAGAAAGCAACGGCUAACUUCGUG
rnacentral:rRNA from 1 species